AUUGAACGCUGGCGGCAUGCCUUACACAUGCAAGUCGAACGGCAGCACGGGUGCUUGCACCUGGUGGCGAGUGGCGAACGGGUGAGUAAUAUAUCGGAACGUACCUUAUUGUGGGGGAUAACGCAGCGAAAGCUGUGCUAAUACCGCAUAAUCCCUAAGGGGGAAAGCGGGGGACCGUAAGGCCUCGCGCAAUUAGAGCGGCCGAUACCUGAUUAGCUAGUUGGUGAGGUAAAGGCUCACCAAGGCAACGAUCAGUAGCUGGUCUGAGAGGACGAUCAGCCACACUGGGACUGAGACACGGCCCAGACUCCUACGGGAGGCAGCAGUGGGGAAUUUUGGACAAUGGGGGCAACCCUGAUCCAGCAAUGCCGCGUGAGUGAAGAAGGCCUUCGGGUUGUAAAGCUCUUUUGUCAGGGAAGAAACAGCAGCUCUAACACAGUUUGCGAAUGACGGUACCUAAAGAAUAAGCACCGGCUAACUACGUGCCAGCAGCCGCAGUAA
rnacentral:rRNA from 1 species